rnacentral:rRNA from 1 species
UGGGGAAUUUUGGACAAUGGGGGCAACCCUGAUCCAGCAAUGCCGCGUGAGUGAAGAAGGCCUUCGGGUUGUAAAGCUCUUUUAUCAGGGAAGAAAAGGUUCUGGCGAAUAGUCAGAAUUGCUGACGGUACCUGAAGAAUCAGCACCGGCUAACUACGUGCCAGCAGCCGCGGUAAUACGUAGGGUGCAAGCGUUAAUCGGAAUGACUGGGCGUAAAGGGUGCGCAGGCGGUCUGGUAAGACAGAGGUGAAAUCCCCGGGCUCAACCUGGGAACGGCCUAUGUGACUGUCAGGCUAGAGUAUGGCAGAGGGAGGUGGAAUUCCAUGUGUAGCAGUGAAAUGCGUAGAGAUAUGGAGGAACACCGAUGGCGAAGGCAGCCUCCUGGGCCAAUACUGACGCUCAGGCACGAAAGCGUGGGGAGCAAACAG